UUUGGGGACUGUUCCCGACCAGGUGAAAAGGGGUAAAAGGACAACUUUACCCUUCCUAGAUUUUGAAUCGGUACGCCCAGAUCGCUGCCGUCCUCGAUCGCCCAUCCUCGAUCGCCCUCCUCCUCCGCCUGGGUAGAUCCUCCUCCGCCUGGGCAGGUCCUCCAGCCCUCCACCCCUCCGGCCUGGGCUCGCCCUCCUCCUCCGCCCUUGCCCUCGCCCUCGCCCUCGCCCUCCACCCUCCACCCCUCCGGCCUGGGCAGAUCCUCGCCAAGGUGCUACCGGAGGACGAUCUCCUCAGGCCCAGGCAGGUCCUCGCCCAGGACCAUCCUGGAGGACGAUCACCUCCGGCCCAGGCAGCUCCUCACCUAGGUGUGCUUCGCCUCCUCCUUGACGACAACCUCCUCGCUAGGUGCUCCUCGCCUCUUUGUCGAAGACCGGCUCCCAGGUUCUUACUC